CGGACCUACGGGGCGCAGCAGUGGGGGAUAUUGCACAAUGGGGGGAACCCUGAUGCAGCGACGCCGCGUGGGUGAAGGAGCGUUUCGGCGCGUAAAGCCCUAUCGGCAGGGAAGAAGAUGACGGUACCUGACCAAGAAGCCCCGGCUAACUACGUGCCAGCAGCCGCGGUAAUACGUAGGGGGCAAGCGUUAUCCGGAUUUACUGGGUGUAAAGGGAGCGUAGACGGUUGUGCAAGUCUGAAGUGAAAGCCCGCGGCUCAAC
rnacentral:rRNA from 1 species